rnacentral:rRNA from 1 species
UGAGGAAUUUUCCGCAAUGGGCGAAAGCCUGACGGAGCAACGCCGCGUGAGGGAUGAAGUCUCUAGGGAUGUAAACCUCUGUUGGGAGGGACGAAAAUUUGACGGUACCUCCUGAGGAAGCCCCGGCUAACUACGUGCCAGCAGCCGCGGUAAUACGUAGGGGGCAAGCGUUAUCCGGAUUUACUGGGCGUAAAGAGCGCGUAGGCGGUUCCGUAAGUUGGUUGUGAAAGUUCGAGGCUCAACCUCGAAACUGCGUCCAAUACUGCGGGGCUGGAGUGCAAGAGAGGCAAGUGGAAUUUGCGGUGUAGUAGUGAAAUGCGUAGAUAUCGCAAGGAACACCAGUGGCGAAGGCGGCUUGCUAGCUUGUAACUGACGCUGAGGCGCGAAAGCUAGGGGAGCGAACGGGAUUAGAUACCCCGGUAGUCCUAGCCCUAAACAAUGUUCACUAGGUGUUGGUGGUAUUGACGCCAUCAGUGCCGCAGCUAACGCAUUAAGUGAACCGCCUGGGGAGUACGGCCGCAAGGUUG